AGUAAAAACAGCGGUUUUACUAUGACUACGCUCAGACAUCAAAUAGCAGGUUUGCAACCAAAAAAAUUCGCUUUGUGCUUCUUUCCUCUUGAUAAUUCACUGGAGCCAUGCAAGACGUCAUUGAUCAAAGAGGGGUCAGCACGUGAGGGAAAAAUGGUUCGGCUUUAUUGCGAUAAGAAAAACCCUGAUUUACCAGCCAAAAUGAUCUUUUUAGAAG